rnacentral:rRNA from 1 species
AGAGUUUGAUCAUGGCUCAGGAUGAACGCUCGCGGCAGGCCUAAUACAUGCAAGCUGAACGGUAAAUAUUGUAGCAAUACAAUAUGAGAGUAGCGUAAGGGUGCGUAACACGUAUGCAAUCUGCCCUGUACAGGAGGAUAGCUCGGCGAAAGCCGGAUUAAUACUCCGUAAUAUUAUGGGAAGGCAUCUUUUUAUAAUUAAAGUCGCAAGAUGGUACAGGAUGAGCAUGCGUCUGAUUAGCUAGUUGGUAGUGUAACGGACUACCAAGGCGAUGAUCAGUAGGGGAACUGAGAGGUUGAUCCCCCACACUGGCACUGAGAUACGGGCCAGACUCCUACGGGAGGCAGCAGUAGGGAAUAUUGGUCAAUGGAUGCAAGUCUGAACCAGCCAUGGCCGCGUGCAGGAAGAAGGCCUUCUGGGUUGUAAACUGCUUUUGCCGGGGGAUAAAAUUCCCAUGCGUGGGACAUUGAAGGUACCCGGUGAAUAAGCCACGGCUAACUACGUGCCAGCAGCCGCGGUAAUACGUAGGUGGCAAGCGUUGUCCGGAUUUAUUGGGUUUAAAGGGUGCGUAGGCGGCCUAUUAAGUCAGUUCUGAAAUAUCCCGGCUUAGCCGGGAGGGUGGGAUUGAUACUGAUGGGCUUGAGUGGAGUCGAGGUAGGCGGAAUUGACGGUGUAGCGGUGAAAUGCUUAGAUAUCGUCAAGAACACCGAUAGUGUAGACAGCUUACUAGACUUCAACUGACGCUGAGGCACGAAAGUGUGGGGAUCAAACAGGA